rnacentral:lncRNA from 1 species
CUCAAAAUCACCCCUCUCUGGUGGAUGAAGAUGAAGAAACUAGGGUUUUGGUGACGGACCUCAAGCAGAGAAGGGAAGAGAGAAACAAAUUGUUACUCAGUUAAUAUGUGUACAUGUUAGCAUUGAUUUUAUAUUAUUGACAAAUUUAAUUUAAAAAUAAUUUUUCUUAAUUUUGUGCAUGGACUAAGAGUUUUAAUUAAUGUAAGGACAAAAAUGUGUAUGACAGAUGAAAAUAAGUUCCUAGUUUUAAUUAAGAGUUUGAAAUAGCGAAUUUUUUGUCGGGUUCACUUCAUUUUGCAGUAGCUA